UAGUAACCCCAAACCUAAUCUAAUUACUUGAAUGCUGUAACCUGUAACCACCGACCAUAAAUAACACAACCAAAAUUAGCAAGAAAUCCGAUAAAACAAAAACAAAAUCAAAGAAAGAAAAGCGUGAGAGUUGCAAAGUACAGAACAUUUCUUCCUGGCAAAAGAGAAAGGGUUGCUUCUUAACUACUCUACUGUUCUUCCAGAUUCUUCUUGGUCGAGGUCCGGCGGAGUUCUUCUCAGCCGGAUUUCGCCCAUUUUUCUGAAACCCUUUUCUUUCAAUUAUUCAAUUCAAUCGAAUUUCAAUCAAAAUGAAGGGAUCUAGCGGUCUUGUUGCAUCCAUUCUUGCAGCUUCUACUGUUCCUCUUUUCACAUUUCCUUCCCAAUUACAGGAAAAUGCGUCUUUUGGCGCGCAAUCAUCGUCUUCAUCAAUGGGGAAGGAGAAAUUUUCACCCAGAUUUGAUGGGUUAAGGUUCAUUGAAACCUUGAUUACUGCUCAUCGAUGAAACCCUAAUUUUUUCAAUCUAAUUUCGGCGUUGAGGUUUGAUGGAAUUAACCUGGUUAUUUGAGUAAUUGUUAUCAAUUUUGUCCGAUGAUGUUCUGAGUUGUACCCAAUUUGUACUUUCUCUGGCGGCUUCUGAUUUUAAUUUAGACAUUACAAAGGGAUUAUCCCCUUUAUGUUAAAUCUGGUGUAUCAUACAUUUUUAUCUUAUAUUGAUUUGGUUUGGGCUUAAUCUUGGUGAAAUCUUAUACAUUUUGGCAUUGGUUAAUGUAAUUGUAAUUCAUGCAGCUCAUUAUAUUGGUUAUACUCUUAUACAGUAAUGUAUAUUGUUUUACUUGUCGAAAA